rnacentral:piRNA from 1 species
UGGCCAUGUGCUCAUGAUCCAUCUCCUCUC